AGCAAGGGUCAGAGCUCCACUGAUUUGGUCCCCACAGACGCUGGUCUGCUGGGCAUCUGAACUGAGGAUUUGGAGCGUCGAGUCGCCCACUGUGGACGGAGGGCUCGCUGCAUCCUGGGCCCCGUGCCCGUUCAGUUUGCUGGUGCAAAAGAUGCCAAGAAAAUCCUCCCGUGGAUGUAGGAAUGAAGCUACCUAACGGCUGUUCCGAGAAGCCAACCUGGGUUUGAUUGUCUCCCUUGGGACUCAACAUUGGCCAAGACCUGCUCUCUGCCUCCGAGGAGUGACCUGGCAGACUUCCGCCAAAGGCAAGUUGAGAAUUUGGGGCAAUCAUUCAUCCCAACCCAGGGUCCCAUCGUACACUGACCUGGUAAGCGUCUGCCCAAUAAAAAGUUUGUCCUGGAGGUGGACAAAAUGACCCCAGCUAGAUCUACGGCUAGGCCACUGAGUGAGACCCACAUAAACCACUUGCAAAGAUGCAGUUCCACAAAAGGAGAAUUCAUUUUGCCGUGUCCUGCUGCUCGUAUUAAACUGUGGAGCCUGCCUGAGCCUAACCUUUACCUUGAUGUGUGUUAUUGCUUACAGACUGGAGGAUCUGUGCAGGUCCAGAGUUAUAGGUCUCAAAUCUACAACAGACACAUGCUGAAGCAUUCAACUGCCCCAGAAAUAAAACUGAAUCCACAUAUCAAUGGCCGAUGUUUUACCUGGAAAAUUAGCCAUCUUGUCUCUUAAUCUUUAAUACAGAAGCAUCCACUUGGAAGCUAAAGUUUGGAAAAUGGACCACCUGGUAAGCUGUGAUGGAAGCAGGAUUUCGUUCAACGUCGAUCUGUCAGAGUCGAGCAUUUUCAGAAGCUCCAAGGAGAGCAGGAAAUCUUCUUAGUAGUACAGAGAGCAUGAACCCAUUUUUUUUUUAAACUCACAAGAAAAGCACAUACAUGUGAGUGGACAUUAAACUAGAUGAUAUCCCUAGGGAUACGUCUCAGAGACCUGGCGGAAUCACUGCUGUCUGGGUUGGUUCAGCGGCCCUGGGGCACACACUAGGUUUGGAGCAAUCUCACAUAUCCCUCCUUCGGAAUGCAAGGAUCUGCACCAUCUGCCUUCCAACAUCUGCUGUGUCAUCUACUUCGUGAUGGGGAAAGGGAAGGAAGAAAUUCUGAAGGAGGAGGAGGAGGAGGAAGACGCCAUCAUGGUUACGAAUGUCGCUGAUGUUACAAUGAAGAUGGAGAAGACUGAGCGAGAGAAAAAGGAGGAAAGAGGAGGAAGAGGAG